rnacentral:rRNA from 1 species
GAUGAACGCUGGCGGCGUGCCUAAUACAUGCAAGUCGAGCGAACGUACUAUAAGCUUGUUUCUCUGAUGUUUUCGGCUGACGUUUGAUUAACACGUGUAUAACCUACCUAUAAGACUUGUAUAACUUCGUGAAACCGUAUCUAAUACCGUAUAAUAUUUUUAACCUCAUUGUUCAAAAGUUAAAGACGGUCUUGCUUUCUCUUAUAGAUUUAUCCUCGCUUCAUUAUCUAGUUGGUAAUGUAACGGCUUACCAAGGCAACGAUUCAUAGGCGAGCUGAGAGGGUGAUCGGCAAAAAUGGAACAGAGAAAAGGUGCAGACUACUACGGGAGGCAGCAGUAGGGAAUGUUCAGAAAUGGGCGAAAGCGUGACGGAGCAACGCAGCGUGAGUGAUGAAGGUCUUCGGAUCGUAAAACGCUGUUAUUAGGGAAGAACAUAUGUGUAAGUAACUGUGAACAUAGUGACGGAACCUAAUCAGAAAGCAACGGCUAACUACGU